rnacentral:rRNA from 1 species
UACGUAGGGGGCAAGCGUUGUCCGGAUUUAUUUGGGCGUAAAGCGCGUGUAGGCGGCCACACAGGUCCGACUGUCGAAAACUCGGAAGGCUCAACCUCGAGCUGUCGGUGGAAACCGUGUGGCUAGAGUCCGGAAGAGGAGACUGGAAUUCCCGGUGUAGCGGUGGAAUGCGCAGAUAUCGGGAGGAACACCCGUGGCGAAGGCGGGUCUCUGGGACGGUACUGACGGCUGAGACGCGAAAGCGUGGGGAGCGAACAGGAU